UCUAGAGGCUUCGGCAAUGGGGGCAACCCUGACCGAGCGACGCCGCGUGCGGGAUUGAAGGCCUUCGGGUCGUAAACCGCUGUCAGGUGGGAAGAAUGCCCGUAUGGCGAAUACGGGAGCGACGGUACCACCAGAGGAAGCCCCGGCUAACUCCGUGCCAGCAGCCGCGGUAAUACGGAGGGGGGAAGCGUUAUUCGGAUUUACUGGGCGUAAAGGGUGCGUCGGCGGCCGCGCAAGUCUGACGUGAAAUC
rnacentral:rRNA from 1 species